GAGGCGUGAAAGAAAAAUUCGUUAAAAUCACUGAAUGGGUACACGAAAAAGAAAACCUGAUGGUUGUGAUGAAGCAGGGUUCUUCAGUUUUUAUUUUAAAAAUAAUAAAACAAGUAAUACAAUGUACGAAAGAAAAAGGAAACAACGAUGAACAAGGUCUCUUCUGAAAAUUAUUAGGUAUGAAGAAUAAAAAAAAGAAAAAGAAACCAAAGGUUGGAAGAGAGAAAAUAAAGAAAAGGAAAAAAGAAAAUC